AAAUUUCUUUAACGAACUAAAUAUUUCAAAUAUAUUUCUUUUCAUCAAGUAGAUUUAUUUCGGAUUCUGUUACUAAAUUGCAAUAGUCAGAAAAAUAUAUUUAUUGAAAGGAUUUAGGUAUAGAACCAAAAACCGUGCUUGCUGAAUUUUGGUGUGAAAACCUGUAUUAAGUUUUAAAAGAUUACGAUCUCUGGAAAACAAAAUACUGUAGGUCAAGUUCAAAUCUAUAGUCUCUCAACUAUAUAAAUUAAACUCAAUUGUUAAAUCGUCCUCCCUUUUCAGUUUAUUAAAGCAGAAUGGGCGGAUACUUUGUUAACGCCUUAGCAAAAUUUGUGUUAAAAAAAAUUGAAAGCGAACCGUCAACGCCAUUAUUCUAUUACAUUUUUCCAUCAGUAAUCAUUGGUAUAGCUAUAUACAUAUUCAUCACAAGUAUAAAAUCCUGGACCAGUGAUGACAAAGUUAAAACACAAGCAGCUGCUAGUGAUCACUCAAUGAAAAAUAACAUCACAAAGACUAGAAAACGUGGUUUAAAGAGGUGUCGGAAAAAAAGUAAAAAAAAUAACUCGGAAAUAAUGAAGUCUAAAUAUAUUGACCGUAAUUUACAUAAUUCGACCAGAUAGAAAGUGGAACUAGUACUGACCUCGGAAAAACGCGCAAUGGUUGAAUGUAUAUAUUGUGUGAAUAUUCAGUGCAGUUGUUCUCAAUGAAUAUUUUCCAUAUGAAUAAUAAACCAAUCUUUUAAUUAGCCUUCAUGCAAAUGAUACACCAAAGAAAGUUCUAGACCAAUAAGUUAAAGAGAUAUAGGGAAACAGAAAUUGAUGUAAUUGAUUGACAUUAAUGUUAAAAUAAAUUUUUGUUAAAUAAGCUGGAUUUUGAAACUAUGACGAAAAGCCAAGGAAUUAAGAAAUUUAAAUAAGUGAUGUGACACGUAAUCUAAACGUGGCAAAUAUUGUAAAUAAAUCUU